AGAGUUUGAUCCUGGCUCAGGAUGAACGCUAGCGGCAGGCUUAACACAUGCAAGUCGAGGGGUAGAGUUCUUCGGGACUUGAGACCGGCGCACGGGUGCGUAACGCGUAUGCAAUCUACCUUUCACAGAGGGAUAGCCCAGAGAAAUUUGGAUUAAUACCUCAUAGUAUUAUGAAAUGGCAUCAUUUUAUAAUUAAAGUCACAACGGUGAAAGAUGAGCAUGCGUCCCAUUAGCUAGUUGGUAUGGUAACGGCAUACCAAGGCUACGAUGGGUAGGGGUCCUGAGAGGGAGAUCCCCCACACUGGUACUGAGACACGGACCAGACUCCUACGGGAGGCAGCAGUGAGGAAUAUUGGACAAUGGGCGCAAGCCUGAUCCAGCCAUGCCGCGUGCAGGAUGACGGUCCUAUGGAUUGUAAACUGCUUUUAUACAGGAAGAAACACUACUUCGUGAAGUAGCUUGACGGUACUGUAAGAAUAAGGAUCGGCUAACUCCGUGCCAGCAGCCGCGGUAAUACGGAGGAUCCAAGCGUUAUCCGGAAUCAUUGGGUUUAAAGGGUCCGUAGGCGGUUUAGUAAGUCAGUGGUGAAAGCCCAUCGCUCAACGGUGGAACGGCCAUUGAUACUGCUAAACUUGAAUUAUUAGGAAGUAACUAGAAUAUGUAGUGUAGCGGUGAAAUGCUUAGAGAUUACAUGGAAUACCAAUUGCGAAGGCAGGUUACUACUAAUGGAUUGACGCUGAUGGACGAAAGCGUGGGUAGCGAACAGGAUUAGAUACCCUGGUAGUCCACGCCGUAAACGAUGGAUACUAGCUGUUGGGCGCAAGUUCAGUGGCUAAGCGAAAGUGAUAAGUAUCCCACCUGGGGAGUACGUUCGCAAGAAUGAAACUCAAAGGAAUUGACGG
rnacentral:rRNA from 1 species